rnacentral:rRNA from 1 species
UACGGAGGAGGCAAGCGUUAUCCGGAAUUAUUGGGCGUAAAGGGCGCGUAGGCGGUCGUGACAAGUCACUUGUGAAAUCUCCGGGCUUAACUCGGAACGGUCAAGUGAUACUGUCGGACUAGAGUACAGAAGGGGGCAACUGGAAUUCUCGGUGUAGCGGUGAAAUGCGUAGAUAUCAGGAAGAACACCGGUGGCGAAGGCGGCUCUCUGGGACGGGUACUGGACGCUGAAGACGCGAAAGCGUGGGGAGCGAACAGG